CGACGAUGAUGCCCAGCUUGCUGGGUGGAUUAGUGGCGAACGGGUGAGUAACACGUGAGUAACCUGCCCCUGACUCUGGGAUAAGCGUUGGAAACGACGUCUAAUACUGGAUAUGAUCACUGGCCGCAUGGUCUGGUGGUGGAAAGAUUUUUUGGUUGGGGAUGGACUCGCGGCCUAUCAGCUUGUUGGUGAGGUAAUGGCUCACCAAGGCGACGACGGGUAGCCGGCCUGAGAGGGUGACCGGCCACACUGGGACUGAGACACGGCCCAGACUCCUACGGGAGGCAGCAGUGGGGAAUAUUGCACAAUGGGCGAAAGCCUGAUGCAGCAACGCCGCGUGAGGGAUGACGGCCUUCGGGUUGUAAACCUCUUUUAGUAGGGAAGAAGCGAAAGUGACGGUACCUGCAGAAAAAGCACCGGCUAACUACGUGCCAGCAGCCGCGGUAAUACGUAGGGUGCAAGCGUUGUCCGGAAUUAUUGGGCGUAAAGAGCUCGUAGGCGGUUUGUCGCGUCUGCUGUGAAAUCCCGAGGCUCAACCUCGGGCUUGCAGUGGGUACGGGCAGACUAGAGUGCGGUAGGGGAGAUUGGAAUUCCUGGUGUAGCGGUGGAAUGCGCAGAUAUCAGAGGAACACCGAUGGCGAAGGCAGAUCUCUGGGCCGUAACUGACGCUGAGGAGCGAAAGCGUGGGGAGCGAACAGGAUUAGAUACCCUGGUAGUCCACGCCGUAAACGUUGGGCGCUAGAUGUAGGGACCUUUU
rnacentral:rRNA from 1 species